rnacentral:rRNA from 1 species
AGAGUUUGAUCAUGGCUCAGGACGAACGCUGGCGGCGCGCCUCAUACAUGCAAGUCGAGCGAGAAACUCGGAGCUUGCUCCGGGUGGACAGCGGCGAACGGGUGAGGAACACGUGAGGAACCUGCCCCGAAGACCGGGAUAACACCAGGAAACCGGUGCUAAUACCGGAUGUCCUCACCGGACCACAUGGACCGGUGAGG